ensembl:misc_RNA Metazoa_SRP Metazoan signal recognition particle RNA
GCCAGGUGUGGUGGUGCACACCUGUAAUCCCAGCUACUCGGGAGGCUGAGGCGGGAGAAUUGCUUGAACCCAGGAGGUGGAGGCUGCAGUGAGCCGAGAUCGUGCCUCUGCACUGUAGCCUAGGUGACAGAGCAAGACCCUGUCUCAA